rnacentral:rRNA from 1 species
UACGUAAAAGACUAGUGUUACUCAUCUUGAAUAGGUUUAAAGGGUACCUAGACGGCCAAUCAAGCCCCAAAAGGGUACUAAUCGGCUAGAGUUUAAUAUAAGUAGGCUUUAAAGUACUGAGAAUGUUGAGAGAUGAAAUUCUGUGAUACUAUAUACGGCACUGGUAAAGGCGAAAGCAUCUUAUUAUGUAAAAACUGACGUUGAGGGACGAAGGCUGUGUGUAGCAAAAAGG